rnacentral:rRNA from 1 species
UACAGAGGGGGCAAGCGUUGUUCGGAAUUACUGGGCGUAAAGGGCGCGUAGGCGGCCUUCUAAGUCGGACGUGAAAUCCCCGGGCUCAACCCGGGAACUGCGUCCGAUACUGGAAGGCUUGAAUCCGGGAGAGGGAUGCGGAAUUCCAGGUGUAGAGGUGAAAUUCGUAGAUAUUCGCAAGAACACCAGUGGCGAAGGCGGCUCACUGGCCCGGUACUGACGCUGAGAUGCGAAAGCGUGGGGAGCAAACAGG